GGCUGUUUGGGGAAAAUGGCGCGCACGAAGCAGACGGCGCGUAAGUCGACGGGCGGCAAGGCGCCCCGCAAGCAGCUGGCCACCAAGGCGGCCCGCAAGAGCGCGCCGGCCACGGGCGGCGUGAAGAAGCCGCACCGCUACCGGCCCGGCACGGUGGCGCUGCGCGAGAUCCGCCGCUACCAGAAGUCCACGGAGCUGCUGAUCCGUAAGCUGCCCUUCCAGCGCCUGGUGCGCGAGAUCGCGCAGGACUUCAAGACCGACCUGCGCUUCCAGAGCUCGGCCGUCAUGGCGCUGCAGGAGGCGAGCGAGGCUUACCUGGUGGGGCUCUUCGAGGACACCAACCUGUGCGCCAUCCACGCCAAGCGCGUCACCAUCAUGCCCAAGGACAUCCAGCUCGCCCGGCGCAUCCGCGGGGAGCGCGCCUGAGCUCGUGGAAGAGAAUCUGACUAUUGAAAACCCAAAGGCUCUUUUAAGAGCCGCCACAGGGCCAGUAAAAAGAGCUGUAAACUCUUAAAUCUUUUGAGGGUUUACUGCUGCACGUGUUGCGGGUAGCCUUUUGUUGACCAGUUUCUAAGCACAGCCCUCCUUAUGUCCAUGUAAUGCCGGGAGAUCCCUGCUCUGCCUGAUCGAAUUGGUUCUGCAGUGCUGCAUGGAAGUAGGUGAGAUGCAGUUCUCACUUCUGUGAACGAACACAGACAAGGAGGAUUGCUUGGAGGGAAUAGAUAUUUUUUCAAAGCUUCAUGCAUCCCUGCAGAGGUGGUUUUAAAAGUUUGCGAGGGGUAAUGACACAGGUGCCAAAGGAAAUAAGUGGAACAUCAGUGUUUUUCUCCCUGAGACUACUGUGAUAAUCUCAGUGCAAGACAACACGGAACAGAAGCCUCACCAGACAAAACAACUCUGCACCCAACGCUAGAACUGUGGUUGUUCAGUCUGGAGAAGAGAAGGCUCAGGGGAAACAUUAUUUCUCUCUACAACAAUCCAAAAGGAGGCUGUAGUGAGGAGGGUUCAGCCUCUUUUCCCAGGUGACAGUGAAAGGCCCAGAGGGAAUGACUUUAAGGUGCUCCAGGGGAGGUUCAGAUUGGAUAUUAGGAACAAUUUCUUCUCCAAAAGAGUGGUGCUGCAGUGGCACAGGCUGCUCAAGGAGGUGGUGGAGUCACUGUCCCUGGAGGCGUUACAGAAUCCUGUGGAUGUGGCACACGGUUGGUGGGGAUGGGCUGGUGAUUGGACUAGAUGACCCCAGGGCUCUUUUCAAACCUAAUGAUUCUAUAAAUCUGGAAAAUUUAUUCUUUGCCCGAAUAGAAAGUUGUGCUGUUAAUAAACUUCAUGAAGUUGGACAGCCCUGGGAAUUGCGCUGAGACCACAGAAGAGACAUUUGAGAAUACACUGUAUUUGGAAGACUAGAGCACUUCCAGUUGCCGCUACUUGGUAUCCAUCUGCUCCCCCCUCUCCUUCCUCCCUCUCUUCGUUCUUUUUUGUUCUUUUAAACCACAUCUUACAUAACAUUUAAUAGUUACCAUUUACCAGAUACUUAAUUGAACUUACAGUUUAAACUUUCCUGCAACUCCCAGUACUGCCCUGAUGUGUCUGCAAAACUCCACUCCUCUGCUGCAGCUCAGAUCCCACCUCUGUCCACUGCAGGGGUACAGCAGAGCUCAUGCAGCUCCCUGAGAUCCUCCCAGGAGCUCCUCCUGGUGUUUUGCUGCUGUGGAGAAGGUGAUUUCGUAUCUUCUCUCUUUUCUGAGGCACAUUUCCACCACUGCUGCAUGAAUGUAUCACUGUUACAAAUGGCUUCAUAUACCUUGUUCCACUCUCUUGGCAAUGUGGGAGCAUUGUCAUGCAGAAAAGCUGUAUGUGUUUCUUUACAAACUCUGUGGGAGUUAUAUUUUUUGAACA